UAUGCCUCCCUCUUCCCCCUGCAGCCAGUGCCUUUUAUUCAUCGGCGGCAUGCGUACACAGGUGAUUCCACUUCUCCAUCAGUCUCCCUCAGAGAUGGGCGGAGCACCAACCUGUCCAGGAACUCAGAGAGGGAGGGGAGACACACACAGACAACACAACCCAUAACAGCGUUGAACAUGAGAGUCCAUCAGACUUUGAUCUGCUUCAUCUUCCUCAAACUGACGGAUGGAUUCCCUUUUUAUGAAGAUAUCGGUGUCCGUGAAGGAACUGAAGGAGGAAACAUCUCAGUUGGAUGCAGCUUUACAUCUUCUGGAAGCAGGAAGGUUUUCUGUAGAAAGGACUGUGAAGAUGAAGACAUUCUUUGCAACACCACAGAUGUCAGUGCUCAGUGUGGCAGAUACAGCAUUGAAUUAAGAAAAAAUGAACUAUUGUCUACAGUUUUUUAUGUGAGCAUCACAAAUUUGAGAAAGUCUGACUCUGGAUCGUACACAUGUUGGUUGGAUA